rnacentral:rRNA from 1 species
AGAGUUUGAUCCUGGCUCAGGACGAACGCUGGCGGCGUGCCUAAUACAUGCAAGUCGAGCGAGCUUGCCUAGAUGAUUUUAGUGCUUGCACUAAAUGAAACUAGAUACAAGCGAGCGGCGGACGGGUGAGUAACACGUGGGUAACCUGCCCAAGAGACUGGGAUAACACCUGGAAACAGAUGCUAAUACCGGAUAACAACACUAGACGCAUGUCUAGAGUUUGAAAGAUGGUUCUGCUAUCACUCUUGGAUGGACCUGCGGUGCAUUAGCUAGUUGGUAAGGUAACGGCUUACCAAGGCAAUGAUGCAUAGCCGAGUUGAGAGACUGAUCGGCCACAUUGGGACUGAGACACGGCCCAAACUCCUACGGGAGGCAGCAGUAGGGAAUCUUCCACAAUGGACGAAAGUCUGAUGGAGCAACGCCGCGUGAGUGAAGAAGGGUUUCGGCUCGUAAAGCUCUGUUGGUAGUGAAGAAAGAUAGAGGUAGUAACUGGCCUUUAUUUGACGGUAAUUACUUAGAAAGUCACGGCUAACUACGUGCCAGCAGCCGCGGUAAUACGUAGGUGGCAAGCGUUGUCCGGAUUUAUUGGGCGUAAAGCGAGUGCAGGCGGUUCAAUAAGUCUGAUGUGAAAGCCUUCGGCUCAACCGGAGAAUUGCAUCAGAAACUGUUGAACUUGAGUGCAGAAGAGGAGAGUGGAACUCCAUGUGUAGCGGUGGAAUGCGUAGAUAUAUGGAAGAACACCAGUGGCGAAGGCGGCUCUCUGGUCUGCAACUGACGCUGAGGCUCGAAAGCAUGGGUAGCGAACAGGAUUAGAUACCCUGGUAGUCCAUGCCGUAAACGAUGAGUGCUAAGUGUUGGGAGGUUUCCGCCUCUCAGUGCUGCAGCUAACGCAUUAAGCACUCCGCCUGGGGAGUACGACCGCAAGGUUGAAACUCAAAGGAAUUGACGGGGGCCC